AACUUGUUAAGUACAGUAAUGUAUAGUAGCCAUUAAGGCUCAUUUUGGAAUCCCAAUGGAACAGCUAUGGCUUGCGUUUAGUCAUUGAUGGCUUCAUACGUGGAAGAACUUCUUCCCCUUCAACUGGGACUUGUCCUGGUAUGCUUACAGAUCCACUGUGAGGUGCUGGUGUGGAUUGUUGAGAAGUACACGUGAACAUGUACAUGAAAAAGUACUGUGAAAAGUACAUCAAAACAAACAUGUUGCUCUUUGAGACAGUCAAUGCUGUCUCUCUUUUUAUUUUAUUGUAGAAGAACCAGUGGGCUCUUUGUGAGGGAGUAAAUCCAGAGACUAGCUUUUCAUCUGCUGUCUGAGAGAACCUGCACUGUGCUUUGAACAUUCACCUGCUGCUUGUGUUUCAUCUCAUUAUGCCUGGUCUUGUGUAUUCUUGCCACACUUUUUGGUCCAUACUCUUCCCAUGGGUUAGCAGCUAUCUGCCAAUAGCAGGCUGGGGAGAAACCUUCCACUGGCUGUCAGACAAGGAGAUGUAAGAGGAAAAACUAAUGAUCUGUGUACUAACACUUUUGCUUGAUGUUUAUUUCUAGCAAGAGCACAGAUCUUUCCCAAGGACUCUUGGUGCUGUGUGAAAAGUCUUCCAGGUUGUUGGCAGAAGUACGUUUCUCUUCAUCAAAGAUAGAUAUAAAUGAGAAAUGCUGCUAUUGAUUGUCAUCCAAAACUCUUGAGAAAAAGCUUUGCUCAGUGUUUGUGACUGCCAGUGAAGUCUGUUCUUUAGUUGUAUACUGGAGAGGGAAGUUCUGAUAGCCUGGCUCAGCUAGCAGGCUUUCAAUUCGAGGACCAGUGCAGGCAGUCUGAUUCCUUGUGUUUCAACAUGAUGUGUGCAGGAUGUGGAUCGAAAAACAUUGAGAACAGCAAGUGAAUCAUAAGAUCCUUUUGUCUGUUGAGCUUUCUGCACAAGGGAGUCGGUUUCUUAGAAAAUAGAUAGCUAUGCAGAAGGGCAAGGAAAAGUGGAGUACUUGAACCUGCUGAUGGCCUAUGUGAGAAACACAUCAAAAGCUACCACUGUGAUCCCUAUAAAUAGUAAAUAAAAGGUUGAAUAAAAGG